ACCGCGAUAGCUCAGUUGGUAGAGCAUCUGCCUGGUCAGCGGAGAGUCGCCAGUUCGAUUCCGGCUCGCGGCG
rnacentral:tRNA from 1 species